rnacentral:lncRNA from 1 species
UGGGGAGGCACAGCCUCCCCUAACCAGCCCUCCAUACAAUUUCUGAAACCUGAUGUGGCCCUCAGGCCAGAAAGUUUGCCCGCCCCUGGUUUAGAGCUUUCUAAGUCAAACUCAGCACCUUCAACUCCACUCUGAACCUGGUCAACAUCCAGUGCAUCUCCCGGAGCACUGCUGCCCCGCGCUCCCGAUGCGUUCCUUCACUCCCUUCCCGAGCGGGUUGCUGUAUUCUGCGCCAGCUGCCGUUUGCAAUUGGACUUUUGGUGGUCGGGCUAAUCUGGAGGCGACAAAGGCCUGGGUCACUGGAGCGAGAUCCAUGUCAGAAAGAAACGCAACCUCUGAGGUUCCAGGUAGCCAUGGAGUCUGCAAUGUCUUUGUAAAGACUAGUGGAAAUGUAGGCCACUUUGGAUGAGCAUCAUAAAGAUCUGACCAGGUAUCUCAUGAAGAGAAGAGAAAAAAAUCAGUUUCAUUUUCCCUCUGAGUCACUGAUAGGAGUGGUUCUCGAGCUCUGGGUUACAGUAACAUUCAGAUCAGUCAAGGACACAGAGGCUGGACUAGGAACUGGCGUACACGAGAUCUCCGGCUUACAAAGGGGUCUGGAGGAUGGAGGACAUGGAUACAAGCUGAUCCACACGCAGUUGGAGUUCAACUGGUGCAAGCCAAGCAGCCGCCCCUUUCCAGUUUCCCUGUUCAAACACGGAACGUUAACUUCAAGGAAGCUCUCCGGAUCUGGGCGUACGACCGGCAUCUGCGCUAAACACAGGAUCGGCUUAUCCAGGUGAAGGACUCCAGCUCUCAUCCCCUGCUAUGGCUCCCGUGCACGGGGUCGCACGGGCGGGGCACUUCCGGAUGACAGUCCCCAGGGCUUUGCUGCUCAGCGUGCUGAUUUACAGCACGGUCUCUGAUAUCCGAUGUCCGGAUAAUGUGCCAAGCCCUGGAGAUUGCUCCUAUGUGUUCAGAUCUGUCGCCAAAGGGGGCUCGGUGAGCAUCUCACUUAAGACAUCAGAAACCACCCUGGAUCUCUGCAAGCUGAACAGGUCGACUGCGAAAUGGGAUGCUGUCAGCAGCUUCGUUAAGGGGAACCAGACAAAGCUCAACAGCGGCUUCCAGGAGCAAGUCUCGGUCUCCAAUGGCACCUUCGUGGUGGAGAACGUGAGCCAAGGGGCUGAUGGGAAUUAUGUGUUUCAAGACACCAGUGAAAAGUGCCUGGCUCAGAUAGCACUGACAGUGGUGUGCUCUUCUGGCAGCCCGUCCCACCGCUUCCGCUUGCCAUCCUGCCCCUGCCCCGUACCUUCUACCUGAAG